CAGGAGACUUCCCCUGAUACAUCUAGCCAUCAAAGGCUGAGCACAGUGUCUCAGAUCUCUCCCUCACUUUGACACUCCCCCAAUGGGAAAGCAGGUUGUGUUAUUCUUGAAAUCCUUAUCCAGGAACUUAAGAAAGUCACAUCUUAUUUUUUUUUCAGGAGAUAUAGGAGAAAAGGAAAACUUAUCUGGACACACUCAACACUUCUGACGCCAGCCCCUCCACACACCACAGACCAUUCUGCUGUGGGCAACACCUGGAUGUCCUCUUACUAAGCUCUAACACAGUCAACCCAGGGCGAGAUCUCACAGGGCCUGAAGAGAGGUCUUUUGAUUGCCAAAUCAUCAUUGCUGGUGGAGCAAAGAACAGUGGUCACUCUGGAAAGUGGGCACACCAUAACACAACUUAAACCAUGUUAGCCAUGAGAACUAUCAAUGCCUUAUUAAUAGAAAAUCCACACCAAAAAGAUUUAUUUCCUGUGCACCUGGCUUAAAAACAGCUGCUAGAAUCCAAGGGGAAAGUGCUUGACCAAACUUAUUGAUAACCACCAAUGGAUAUUGUCAUGAUUCUUCCACAGCCAGCCACGCCAGAGUUGGAACUAUGAGCUAGGCGAACUUGAAGGGAAGACUAUGUCUGAAGAUAUUACAUAUUUGAGUUAUAGAAUAUGGAGACAUCAAGCAAGACACUUCAUCCCUAAUUGGCCAGCUUUCACAGUGCAGGAGGGUGCUAUACCUGCAACUGGAAGAAGAAAGUAUCAAUCUUACCAAGCUGGGCAUCCUCUGAGCUGUUGGCCUGGUAAGACGUCUCUUGGUGCAAAAGUGGCAUUAAUGUCAUGGGAGUAACUGGUCACUUUCUGGUUGGAUUUCAAGUCCCACUCCACAAGAUGAAACCUAUACCUAGCACCAUUAUCAAUCUAAGAACCUUUAGCUAGAUGGGUUAUAGGCCCUAGGGGAGAACCCAUUACUAUUAUUCUGCUAAAUGGACAUAGUGUUAAAUUGAUUCCUAAUGACUGAUUGUCAUACUAUAGAUUGUUUCUCAGCUCUCCUCAGAGAAUAUUCGAGGCAGAUGGUGAUGAAUAUAGAGACUCACAGCUGGUUAAAGUGCAGAGAUUAAG